rnacentral:rRNA from 1 species
UACGUAGGGGGCAAGCGUUGUCCGGAAUUAUUGGGCGUAAAGAGCGCGUAGGCGGUCCGAUAAGUCGGCUGUGAAAGUCAGGGGCUCAACCCUUGAAAGCCGGCCGAUACUGUCGGACUAGAGUCCGGAAGAGGCGAGUGGAAUUCCCGGUGUAGCGGUGAAAUGCGCAGAUAUCGGGAGGAACACCGGUGGCGAAAGCGGCGCGCUGGACCUCUUCUGACGCUGAGGCGCGAAAGCCAGGGGAGCAAACGGG